rnacentral:rRNA from 1 species
AGGAUAAACGCUGGCGGCGUGCCUAACACAUGCAAGUCGAACGCGCUUUCGGGCUUCGGUGCGAGAGCGAGUGGCGGACGGGUGAGUAACACAUGGGUACCUACCUUGGAGUGAGGGAUACCGGCGAGAAAUCGCCGACAAUACCGCAUAGGCUUCUUCACAAGGGAAGCAAAGUGACGCGAGUCACGCUUUGAGAUGGGCCUGUGGCCGAUUAGCUAGUUGGGGGGGUAACGGCUUCCCAAGGCGACGAUCGGUAGCUGGUCUGAGAGGACGAUCAGCCACACUGGGAUUGAGAACGGCCCAGACUCCUACGGGGGGCAGCAGUGAGGAAUUUUCCGCAAUGGAGGCAACUCUGACGGAGCAACGCCGCGUGCAGGAGGAAGGUUUUCGGAUCGUAAACUGCUUUUCGUCGGGGACGAGCAAGGACGGUACCCGAGGAAGAACGCCCGGCUAACUACGCGCCAGCAGCCGC